rnacentral:rRNA from 1 species
GAUGAACGCUAGCUACAGGCUUAACACAUGCAAGUCGAGGGGUAACGAGAGGAAAGCUUGCUUUCCUUGUCGACGACCGGCGCACGGGUGAGUAACGCGUAUCCAACCUGCCCCCAACUAGGGAAUAACCUUGCGAAAGUAAGGCUAAUACCCUAUAAUUUCCUCAGAUGACAUCUGACGAGGAAUAAAGAUUUAUCGGUUGUGGAUGGGGAUGCGUCUGAUUAGCUUGUUGGCGGGGUAACGGCCCAACAAGGCAACGAUCAGGAGGGGUUCUGAGAGGAAGGUCCCCCACAUUGGAACUGAGACACGGUCCAAACUCCUACGGGAGGCAGCAGUGAGGAAUAUUGGUCAAUGGGCGGAAGCCUGAACCAGCCAAGUAGCGUGCAGGAUGACGGCCCUAUGGGUUGUAAACUGCUUUUAUACAGGAAUAAAGUUAGCCACGUGUGGUUAUUUGUAGGUACUGUAUGGAUAAGGACCGGCUAAUUCCGUGCCAGCCGCCGCGGUAA